UGUGUGUUUUCCACACCCCUUUCAAUCCCUCCUAUAAACUUUGCAGCAUGUCCCAAGAGCCAGUGUGUCUACAUUUCCUGCUGCUUCACAAUCAUCCUUAUAAAGGACUGUUUCUUUCUUUGGCUGCCAUUCGACGGCACCACUGGACCAGCACCAGCCUCAUCAUCUCCACUGCUCUCACUGCCGAUAGUCUGCACUUUUGACUGUCAGGAUGGAGCGGGUGCAGCAUAUGACGCGCUCUGCGAUCCGGAGAGCAUCCAACAUCGAGGUGAACCCGCAGACCAAACGCAACCUACAGGAUCUCAUCAUCAACUUCUCCCUCAUCCUAAUCUGCCUGCUGCUCAUCUACAUCAUCGUCUUGCUCAUGUGACACCGAAAAACACAACCACAAAUCAUAAGACGCGUUCAAGAUCUUGGACGAUUUUUUAAGGGAAUUGAAAAUGACGCGACACAUUUCAGUUUGCUGAGAUGAUUUUUUUUUUGCUCCAUUUGUGUUUGUUUUGCAUUAAUCUUACGUUGAUAAGUAUAUGUUUGAAGCAUUGAAUGGCACUGAGUACAAGUCUGCUUUUGUUCUCUGAAUCAUGUGUUUUCUAUUUGUAGUGAUUCAUAGGAAUAUCGUCACCUUGGAAUAAAGGUUAUAUCUGAGAGGGUUUGAGAUACUGAGUUUUAAAAAAAAUAUCCUAAAAAAAUAAAAUAAAAUCGAUCCCCGAGUCUUUUCCCCUCCUGAAGACAAAAGAACCUGUUUUGAACAAUGUUGGAAUCCGGUAACCAUUGAGAUCAAUAGUAAUUUUUUUUUGUAUGGAAGUCAAUGGUUACCGGUUUCCAACAAGUUCUUUUCAAUGUUUUUGUGUACUACACCAAAUAGAAACUCAAACAGGUUUUGCAACCCAGGCUCAUUAUUUAAUCGUAGCUCUGUAUACAUUUCUGGAGAGCACAAAAUACGUCCCAGGAGGUACUCUUUUUGCAGUUUUGUUUUCGCGAAUUCAUCACUGUGAACACUUUUCCAGAUCUCAAAUUUCUCUUGCGAGGGCCAUUCGCACCUGCUGUUCUCACGUAAAGCCGCUGUCAGCUGACUGACUGACACUCCCACUGACCCCCUUCUCUAAAGCCAACCGAUAAUGUUUUCAAAAGCACAGAUUAGACCCGCCCACCCACUUCCCUAAACCCCACCCACUUCUAUAAACCCAACCAAUAGUUUUUUUAAAAGCAAUGCAGAAAAAGAAAAGCCCUCGUGACCACCUGAUUUUUACCAUGUUUUCAGAUCUUACCUAAUUCUCACCCUGUUAUUUACUUGUUUAUUUUAUUCUUUGGCUUCUGUUUUUGUUUUACCUGCUUUCUGGAAUCGUUCUUCACCAGACUCGAACCCCAUUGUCACGGUCAACUCCUCUCUGCAUUUCAAGUCCACCGACAUAAGCAGCGAGCCACUAGGAAAACUGAUAACAGUAGAAAAGCCGUCCACACUUGAGGUAAGCGGCCAGCUGGUAGUGCAAAAAAGAAACAAACUUGUUGGUGGCAUCAUACUGUACCAAACUAUAUUGUUCAUUUUAGAGACAAAAUGCAGACAUACAUUGCUCUGGCUACAUAAUUCACGCUCUCCAGAAAUGUAUACGGGGGUGUGUUUUCACAAUGUGCCUGUUGGGUUUUUGACAAGUAGAGAAGAGUAAUGUUGACAGAAUUUUCAGUUUUUUAGUGAACUAUCUUUUAAAGUUUUGUCCAUUCCAUACAGCAAAAAUGCCAUGUAGGAGAAGUAAUUUUCAUUGAUGAAAAUAAAAGAAACUUUAAAUGUAAAUGUUAAAUAUUUUUAAAAAAUGUUUAAUACUCUCCAAUUUAUAAAUGGGGAUUUUUGUAACAGGUCAAAUGGUGUCGUCUAAUUCUAAACAAAUAAAAUCACUUUCCAUUUGAAA